rnacentral:lncRNA from 1 species
ACAAAACAGACUCACACAUAUAUAAAAUUAAUAGAUUAGAUAGCAUUUAAACAAAUAUUUCAGGUAGGUACUUCAAAUGCAUUUGACAUUUAUCAAAGAAAUGGUAAGUGCUGUCAUCCGUGGGUGGCUGGAUUAACAUGUGGGACUACUUAUCACCAAUUUUGUUAGGGAUCUUAGGGAAAUUCCUGGAUCUUAUAUUCACAAGCAAUUGUAUAAAUACUUCCCACAGCUCAGAGACCUAAUAGGAUGGGGUCUUAGAGAAACAUCUUUUGAGCCACAGACUUCUUUGUUACCAGAAGGAAAAUGAAAGAAGAAAUUUAAAUACCACUUGAAGAGAGGUAAAUAAAUGAGAAAUGGGGCUGAGAGGGCGGGUAUUUUUUUAAAAAUUCAUUAAAUGGAAAAAUCCACAAAUGUUAAUUCUGGUAGAUUUCUUAGAAAUUACAUCAGAGGAGCAUGCUUGGUCUUCCCACCCUCAUUAGGCCUCAGUGACAGGUACUUGAACAACUGAGCCCCUAAUGUGCAUGCUCCCCCACCCCUGAAGCCAGUCUCUGCCCUCCUCUUCCCUCCUCUUGCCCCUGGAAGCUGAUCGCCACCAACUGGCCUCUGGGUGGAUUUGGCCAAUGGAAGCACCUGUAGAGGGAAGAGAGUGAGGUUAGGAUAUUUCUUCCUGCUGUCUCCGUGCUUCCCUGCAGAGAGUGUGAAGAAAUGACCCUGAAAAGCCUCUGGCAGAGGAUUCUUCUUUCAGGAUGGUGUCGCCUCCUCAGCAGCCCAUCCUCCUCCCCUGGACUCAAGCUCUCAUUCCAGUAACACUCCUUCCUCCUUCUCCAUCUUCAGGGGGAGGUUUGCCAGUCGUUCAUGAGUGCUGCUGCUGUCCUGCCCAAGUACCCAGCUUGCAGAGUGCCAGAGUUAGAGUCCCAGGGGUGUUCUCCACAGCUGCAUGCUUGAUCCAGGCCUAUCAGAUAUAUUCCAUUGAAAGUCCUCAUUCUCAAAUUUAAAACAAAGACUUUUUGUGUACCUCAAUAGCAAUGCACACACAGUUGGCUUCACAAACAUAUUGUACAUUUCUUUUUUUCAUAUUUAUUCAACAAAUGUAUAUUGACUACCCACCGUGUGACAGGUGUUAUUUGUUGACGGAACCAGGCAUCAUCAGCAAACAAAACUGACAAAGCUUCCUGCCCUCUGUGGAAGGCAUCUGAGGAAGAGACUGGAUUUUGUAGCAACAUGUUAUUCUCAUUAUAAACUUUAUCAUUGGAAUACUAAAGCCAAAUCAUCCCCCAUCUCCUUGAUCAGGAUACCCACUUAAUCUAGGCAGCUACACAAUUGUGAGAGCCUUUGUUUUUUUCUGCUGAAACAUCCUUAAAAAGAUACCUCACAACCCAAGAUUUGGCUUUUCUUAAAUACGAUUUUUAAUUUUUUUCAUUUCUAUCUAGAGAUUUAAUUGGAAAUGGAAAAUCAUCAAUUUUCCAAUUAAAUGUCUGUUCCAAUCAACAUUAUACCUUUUAGGUUGUCAUUGUCAUUUUUAAGUUUAAGCAACUUUAAGGAUUUUGAAUCUGGCUGCCUGUAAAUUAAAGGUGAAAGUAAUCAUUGUGUUGGAUUGGAACAUUUUGUCAAUUGAGAGUGGUUUCCUUGUUCUUAGUGUAUGAAAAGUUUAUUUUUCUAAUGUAGAUUAAUAAAGGAGAUAAAGAAAAACAAAAUGAGUGAUUUAUGUGUGUGAGAAAAGAACCAUUUCCUCAAGGAUUAAAUAAAAUUCAUACCUUUUGUUUCUUUUGAAAAGUUUUUAAAAUAAAUUUUAAUGAAUGUGUCCUUUAAAUAUUCCUUUAAAAAUGUAUCCUAUUUUAAAAUGGACUCUCUGAGAGAAGGAAUUGAUACCUGUGUUUAAAAUCAAAAAUAGCAUGCAUAGAGACUGUUUUUCUAGUUGGUUGAAGCUUUUUUCCCUCUCCUUUACAUCAGUGAACCAGCAUCUUGCCCUUCAGACCCUACAGCACACUCUUGGGCUCAUGAAGUGUAUGACACAUCCUCCUUGGGGGAUCGGCCAUGUCCUCGCUCUCAUGACCACAUGAAUUCUUCUGUAUGUCUUUUCUCACAGCUGAGUACUCUCUUCCUGACCCCCUUGUGGAAUGGGGAAAGGAGGCUGUGACAUUGUGCUUGUGCAAACAAUAAUUGAGAGCUUUCCGAGUCUCCUGCAUCUUCAUAAAUGAUUUUUUGUUUUAUGCUGGGACAGUAGUUCUUUAAAUAGAAUAUUCUCCCAUGGAAAUCGCCCACAAUGCUGAGAGUACACCUUGCAAAAGGUAAGUCUAGAAUAUAGGGUGCCUCCUCAGCAUUGCCCAGAAGCUGAAGUUAGGACUCUCUAGAAUACCAAAAACAAAUUUAUAGCAGUUCAUUAAUGUAAGGAAUUAUGAAAACUGUGUGCCACCAUUAUCCAUAGAUGAAACAAGAGCCACCACGCAAGCACAGACACAAAGCCCUGAAGAUGAAGCCAUUGACAGGGCUCUCAUUUAUUCUGUAGAAACCCACUUGCCUGUUUUUGAACCAGUUUUCUUUGGAGCAUAUGUCUCACUGUGCAACCAAAGUGGUGUUUAUAUCCUAGUCACUUGGCAAAAAUUCUGUCAUUGCUUCAGGGAGAUCCAUUUUAGGCCUGAAGCAUGGAGCUGGUAAUAGAUGGGAUUUGGUACUUCUGAAGAAAAGACCCUACUGCAAAUUUAGAGAGUUAAUUUUUUCUUUUGUUCCCCAUAAUAUUGUUGCUAGAUAGAACUACCUUUUUUGACUAGAAGUUAAAUAUAGAGGCCUAAAUCAAUUAGGUAACUCCCACUCAUUCUAAAUGAGAACAUGUUUGUUUUUCUCCAACGAGAUGAGAAAUAUUUGAGGCGCUUCCUGAUAUCUCUAUCACCCACUGCAUUUUUUCACUUGAUGUAUAUUUCCCCAUGUAUUUGGGAUAAUUUUCAAAUAAUUGCCCUUUAGAAAUCUACUUGAUAUUAAAUGUAAAAAAAAAGCAAGAUGCAAAAUUAUUAUAGGAUGCAUUUACAGAAAUUACAAAAUUUCUAUAAACUAUUUAUGGAGGAAGACUUAUAGAGUAUAUGUCAACACAUUGCUUUAUUAUUGUCCUUGGUUAUGAGUAUGGUUUUUUUGAAACCUGCUUUGUACUUUGGGUGUUUUCUCACCAUUGGUACAAUUGAGGCAUUUUUCCCUCUUCUUCAACCUUGCAAAUCACACGUGAGGAUGCUCAUAGAAGUGCCUCUCAGACAGGCUGUUGUUUUGCUUUCACCAAUAAAUCAUUUAUAAUUAGAAGUAGAAAACUAUUCUUUCCAGUGCAAAUACAUCCCUUUCAAAAGCAGUUCUCUUUUUGUGAAUGAUGUCUAGUGUCUAAGAAACGAGGGUAACCUUUAUUAUAUGCAUUGCUCUAAUCGAAGCAUUGUUUUUUGCGGUGAACUCAAGGUUACAUGUUUAAGAAAAGCAUCGGGUUAAUUCCAUUAGGAAAAGUGUCUUAUUCAUAAACCUUUAGCCACUGGAAAAACACCAUUAGGAGGCCACACAAGUGUGUAUAGCUGGAUAGAAUUUGACAACUGGCAAAACAAAACAAUAGCCUACAAUUGCAGAGUGCUGUCUGUUUAAAAACCAACAUAUCUUUCACCAACAAAUACAUAUUCACCUCAACACGAGACUUUCAUGUGGUUAUUAAUAUCAAAUUUUUGAAUGUCCAAAUUUUGGAGUGUAGUCUAGCAGAGGUAAACUGAUUUGCCUAAGGUCCUUCAACUGUCAGAGGUAGAAUUAUUUUCUCUCUCCUGGCUCUAAAACCUGUCCAGAUUCUCCUGCAACACUGUCCUUCAAAAACACACUUCCGCUGACUCCAGUGCUGGUGAUGUCAUGCUUUAGCUAGUAGUUAGAGGUGACUUAACUUUAAAUAUGGAAUCUUUUUUUCCUAUUAAGCAAUGAGGUUUAGUUUGAAAAUUCUUAGAGAUGAUAAACCCCUCUCCUUUUUUUCUUCCUUCUCCUCUUUUGUCCUGAACAAUGUUCCAUAUAUAUUACUGCCAGAAACAGAUUCUUGACAUUCCUGUUAUGCUUUUCCACAUCUUGUAAUCAUUUCUACAGCUGUUAGCAUUGCCAACAAUUAUAUUUCCACUUUUAAAAAAUUGUUACAAAGAUGCAGAGAGAAAAGAGGAAAGCCAAGGAAUAAACUACAGGCAAUUAUGGGAUAUUUUUGUGAUGUGACAUUUUGGGAACUGAGGCAGCAUCACUGAUACUGCACUACUUUUUAAUAUCUAGAUUUUAAUCUUUUGUAUGAAGAUAAAAUUCACAUGCCUUAAACCUGACCACAACAUAAUAGGGCAUUUAUUUUUCUAAUUUUGAUACCAUCCACAUUUCUUAACUAUAAGAAGAAUGCUUAUGUUGUACCAGGUUAUAUGAUGUUGCCAAGAAGUAGAUGUGUACCAUUUACUAAUACAUCCUUUUGGAAAAUGCGUAUUAAUAACAUAUUAAGGAGUAAAUUGACGUUGUGCAAAGUGAGCCUGUGAGUUUAAAUGUAUGGAUUGUACACCUUGCUCUUCCUAAUUGCAGAUUUAACAGGAUUUGAUGACCUAAUGAGUUUAUUUCUGAAUGAUUUAUAUUUCUUUGUCAGUUCAAUGAUUUAGUAUUUUAAAUUUUUUUAAAUCACAUUUUAUUGAGAUAAUGCUAUUAGUGUUUCUUUCCCAUCACUUAACAAAGUUAAGUCACUCCUCUCCCACCCCACUUUUGUACCUACCAAUGUUUUUUUCACAGUUACAGGCUGAUUGGCUUGACGUGUCUUAGGAUACCACCCAAAGAGAGCUUCAUUUUAUAAAUACCAAGCUCAUUUUCCUAAAUAUUUUCAAAAAGAUAGAUUUAUCCUCAUAUAGUAAAUUCAGAUUAAUAAUUUUGGAAAGGGUCAUGUGACCAUGGUAUUACAUGGCUGUGGAAGACCCUCCAAGAUCUUGUUUUGGGAUAGAAGGACUCAGACAUCCAAACUUUUAAAUUAAUGAACUUAUUAAAUUCUAAAACUUUGUAACAGUGUUAAUUUGAGAAGUAUAAUAUUUUGCUUAAGGUCUGUUUUGCUUUGCAAAAUGCAUCUCCUUCAUUUUCAUAUUAUGUUGGAAGCUUAGCAUGAAAGAACGUGCCUCAGAGGAAACCAUAGGUAAGCAUACUUUAACAAAAGUUAGUGUCAUCAUGUUUGUGUCUUUGCCUGUGGUUUUUUAAAUGUAUAAUGUUUAACGUUGAUUUGGCUAUCAAAUUACAUUUUCUUUUGUUAAAAAAUUCUGUAAAUUAGAAAUGUACUGAAUCAUUUAUUUAGCAGACUGAAGGUGGGUAAUGUUGGCUGAACAGGUUUAAGCCACAGUAAUUUGAAAAUGUAAAUACAUAAAAUAAUGUCAUUUCUCUUCCACUCAAUGUUUCUUCACCAAAUAAAGUCCAGCCUGCUCUGAAUUUGUUGCCAGUAGGAACAAUGUUACAGUGAAUCAUGGUUUAAUAUACCUUGAAAAUGGCACAUCUGUUCUGUGAUAGCUUACCAAUUUUAGCCUCUUUAUAAAAUACGAAGAGUUUGUCAACCAGAAUAAUCUAGAACCUGGCAAUUCAAAUACCAUUCAAAGCAAAUGUUUUAUCUAAUAACUGGAACUAAAUGUUAGGCCUCAUGACAGUUCAAUAUUUACUAAAUAAGUUUAAUAACAGGGUAAGCCCUCAGUAUCCAGAGCAGAGACAAGCACACCAUAUUUACACAUACAAAUUCUGCCUUUAGCCAUCUGAAAGGGCCCCGAACUAUUGCAGCAAGCAAAGAGUCUUUGCAUUGUCCUAAAAUCCAUACAAUACUUUAUAUUUUACACAUUUUAAUAGCUAGUUUAACAAAUAACAAGUACCAUGCUUAAUUCUCUGCAUGCAUUAUUUCAACUAAUUAUUGGAAUAAUCUUAUAAAGUGGGUACUUUCGUCUCAGCUUACAGGUGAGAAAACAAAAGUUAAAUAGAUCGCCCAGGGCUCUGCUGGAACGUGUUAAGCAGGGAUUUCAGCCUGUCCAGUCAGACCCCAGAAGUUGUGUUCUUAACCAUUAGCAACACAUCAUCCCAGGCAGGCCCUACAUGAGCCUCAUAACCAAUUUUAUGCUGGAUAGUAUUAUCCCUAUUUCACAGAUGGCAAAACUGAGGUCCAGAGACUUUAAGUGACCUACCCAAAAUUACAGUCAUGAGCAGAGGCACUGGAAUGUAGGGCCUUGACACUCUACCUCACGUGGUCCUCUUUCCUGUUUUGGGUAGUUCUCCACUACCACUACUCAUUUCUGAUGCUGGAAAGGCUGUGUUUUAUACAUUUCUGUUUCUGGCUUGGAACGAAACACUCUGGGUCUCUGCUUGAUCAGUGUCCCCUCUAAACUGCACCUCACUACAGUAGGGAUGGCAUAAGAUACUUCUUUACACAGCAUCUUUUUGUUCCCACCUCACCCCCAGAGCUGUAAUAGGUAGAGCCAGCCAAAUGUCAAAGGGAUGAUUUGUCUUGUCACCACUAGUUUCCCUUUUCUCUGCCUUGUAUGUAACAGGAAUAUUCUUUAGUUCCUCCUUAUGUUCUAAAGCACCUCCCCAACCUAAAAAUAGAAGAGGAGUUGUGGGUCAUUUACACUUUAGUGUGAAUUUGCCCUUGUGACUUUGCCAAGGCUGUUGUGCCUAACCCUUUCAAUCUAACAGCAGAAUGAGAGUCUCUGGACUAUCCUGGCUCCUUCCCUGAGAAGAAUGAACUGGGAAUUGUUGGUCUAGACAUCAAGACUACCAGAGACCUAUUGCUCAGAGAUGUUUGGGCUGUACAAUUUCUGUAGAUAUGGCAUCUGGAGCAGCCUUUUCUAAGCAAUGGCAUUAUCAUUCCAGGCUCUCUCGCUCUUUCCAUCUCUCCACCAGGUGGACUCUUGCCCUCCACCCCUUCCAAUUUGUCAGUGAUUCAGAGAACAUUCUCCAUCCUUCCAAUGAUUACAUUCCUUCAUCUUGCUGGGGCGCCAAUUCAGUGAUGGAGCGGCUCUUGGGAGCAGCCUUGGCUUAUAGUGCAGCUCUCUGCUACCUUCAACAGGCUGGUAUUCGGGGUGCUUAGAUGUGACUGGUUGUACGCACGUGUGUGUAUGUGCAUGUGUGUACAGCAGUAAGAGCUUUCGAGGUAGAUACUUGAGGAAGCCUCAGACAUCUAGCCCCAUUACUGGGGCAAUGUCUUACUUGGGUUUUUCCAGAAACAGACCUGGAGACCAGGAUUCAAGUGCCAGUGGUAUAUUUGGGAUGUGAACCCUGCAAUGCUGGUAGGAGAGUGGAGAAGUGAGGCAAGGAAAGGAAGGCCGUCAAGGGGCGUGUUAGGAGGUCAUUCACCACCGCAGGUAGCCCGCUGGGGACCUCUGGGAGCAAGUGUGGCGCACAAGCCUCAGCAUUACUGCCCUGUGCCUUGAGGAGUAAGGGAUAAGGAUUUUCCCCACCAGUUCCCUGUAGUCCUUGGUGAGAGCUUCUGGGGUGGAGGUUAAGGUCUUUAGGUCAGAGAAAUUUUCUUUAGUUUCGGAAAAAUCUUUCAGGCCGAGGUCCAGACACUCACUGGAACACACUGAAGUGGUUAGGUCCAAGGGCUGUAGGCAGAGCUCCCAUAUCCAUCUGCAGAGGUGUUUCAGGUGGAAGGAGUGGAGACAGCCUUCUCUGCUCCACACUGUCUUCAGCAAGGGUUUCUGUAUCUGUGCAUUGAGGAUUAAAUUAUUCACAUGGUCAGAGAAGCCCAUCACCACUGAUAGUUAUUGUAGGUAUGGAAAACUAACGACUAAGAAGGGAGAAAAAUAUACCAAGCAGUUGGCUUGGCUGAACACAAGUAAAGACUCUUACAGUCACUGGUGUGAACUGCUUAUUAUCAAUGUCUGAUUACAGUGCUGCAUACUAAUGAUUAUGCAUGUCAUUAAAUGUGUCAGAUUAACUUUGUUAUAAAAUUUAUGACAACAUUAAAUUUUAUUCACAUGCUCAGCCUUCAUAAUUUAUUGCUUAUGUAGCAUGGUUUUAACUUCAGAAAAACCUCCAAGACAGUGUUGUCUUGAUGACUACACUGCUUAUCCGUGAGUCUAGUUUUCCUGUUCAUUUGAAAUGUUCACAUUACAUUCAGCUCUGUCUCAAGCACUGAGACAGAGCUGGAAUCAGUGCCCAGCGAUUCCACUUGCCGAGUGAUUGA